rnacentral:rRNA from 1 species
GACGAACGCUGGCGGCGUGCUUAACACAUGCAAGUCGAACGGAAAGGCCCUGCUUUUGUGGGGUGCUCGAGUGGCGAACGGGUGAGUAACACGUGAGUAACCUGCCCUUGACUUUGGGAUAACUUCAGGAAACUGGGGCUAAUACCGGAUAGGAGCUCCUGCUGCAUGGUGGGGGUGGGAAAGUUUCGGCGGGUGGGGAUGGACUCGCGGCUUAUCAGCUUGUUGGUGGGGUAGUGGCUGACCAAGGCUUUGACGGGUAGCCGGCCUGAGAGGGUGACCGGCGACAUUGGGCCUGAGAGACGGCCCAGACUCCUACGGGAGGCAGCAGUGGGGAAUAUUGCACAAUGGGCGGAAGCCUGAUGCAGCAGCGCCGCGUGCGGGAUGACGGCCUUCGGGUUGUAAACCGCUUUCGCCUGUGACGAAGCGUGAGUGACGGUAAUGGGUAAAGAAGCACCGGCUAACUACGUG